rnacentral:lncRNA from 1 species
CUCAAAAAAAAAAAAAAAAAAGAAAGAGCAAAUUUUAAUUCAAACAUGAAGUGUUUUACCAAAUUUAAAUAAUAUAUUUAAAAGUUAAAGUUAAUGAGCUGGGCGUGGUGGAAGACGCCUGUAAUCCCAGCUACUCGGGAGGACUAAGUAGGAGAAUCACUUGAACCCGGGAGGCAGAGGUUGCAGUGAGCCAAGAUUGCGCCACUGCACUCCAGCCUGGGUGACGAGCAAAACUCCGUCUUGAAAAAAAAAAAGUUAAAGUUAUCCUUUUCAUUUUUUCACUUUUUUAUUUUUAUUUAUUUAUUUUUUUUAGAUGGAGUCUCGCUCUGUCGCCCAUGCUGGAGUGCAGUGGUGCGAUCUCAGCUCACUGCAACCUCCGCCUCUCGAGUUCAAGCGAUUCUCCUGCCUCAGCCUCCUGAAUAGCUGGGACUACAGGUGCCUGCCGCCACACCCGGCUAAUUUUUGUAGUUUUAGUAGAGACAGGAUUUCACCAUGUUGGCCAGGCUGGUCUAGAACUCCUGACCUCAAGUGAUCCACCCGCCUCAGCAUCCUGUCUCUAUGACUUUGACUACUAAUUUGGUAACUCAUGUAAGUGGAAUCAUACAAUAUUUGUCUUUUUGUGACUGGCUUAUUUCACUCAGCAUAAUGUCCUCAAGGUUUACCGGUGUUGUAGCAUGUGUCAGAAUUUCAUUCCUUUUUAAGUUUGAAUAACAUUCCAUUGUACGUAUAUAUCACAUCGUGUUUUCCAUUCUUCUGUCUGUGGGGACUUGGGUUGUUUCCACCUUUGGGCUACUGUGAAUAAUGCUGCAGUGAACAUGCGUGUGCAAAUAUCUGUCCAAGUCCCUAUUUUUAAUUCUUUUGGGCAUCCAUCCAGAAAUGAAAUUACUAGAUCAUAUGGUAAUUCUAUUUUCAAUUUUUUGAGAAAUUGCCAUACUGUUUUCCAUAAUGGCUGUAUCAUUUCACAUUCCCACCAGCAAUGCACAAAGAUUCCAGUUUCCUCACAUCCUCAAAAACACUGGUUUUUGUUUCCUUGGGAUGAUGAUAACCAUCCUAAUGGGUAUGAAGUGGUUUCUCAUAGUGGCCGUGAUUUGCAUUUCUCUUUUUUUUUUUUUUCAGGUAGAGUCUCGCACUGUCGCCCAUACUAGAGGGCAGUAGCACGGUCUCGGCUCACUGCAACCUCCGCCUCCCGGGUUCAAGCAAUUCUCCUGCCUCAGCCUCCCGAGUAGCUGGGAUUACAGGUGCUUGCCACCAUGCCCGGCUAAUUUUUUUUGUAUUUUUAAUAGAGACAGGGUUUCACUAUGUUGGCCAGGCUGGUCUCAAGCUCCUGACCUUGUGAUCUGCCUGCCGUGGCCUCCCAAAGUGCUGGGAUUACAGGCAUGAGCUACCACCCCCAGCCUGUGAUUUGCAUUUCUCUAACGAUUAGUGAUACUGAGCAUCUUUUCCUGUGUUUAUGGGCUAUUUGUGUAUCUUUUUUGGAGAAAUGCCUAUUUAAAUUGUCAUUUGCCUGUUUUUUAAUUGGGUUGUUUUUGUGUUGUUGAGUUUCAGGAGUUCUUCAUAUAGUGUGGAUAUUAAUUGCUUAUCAGAUAUGAUUUACAAAUAUUUUCUCCUACACUGUGUGUUGUCUUUUCACUCUUUUUUUUUUUUUUUUUUUUUUUUGAGACAGUCUUGCUCUGUCGCCCAGGCUGGAGUGCAGUGGCACGAUCGCAGCUCACUGCAGGCUCCGCCUCUCAGGUUCAUGCCAUUCUCCAGCCUCAGCCUCCCAAGCAGCUGGGACUACAGGCACCUGCCACCUCACCUGGCUAAUUUUUUGUAUUUUUAGUAGAGACAGAGUUUCACCAUGUUAGCCAGGAUGGUCUCGAUCUCCUGACCUCGUGAUCCACCCGCCUUGGCCUCCCAAAGUGCUGGGAUUACAGGCGUGAGCCACCGUGCCCGGCUGUCUUUUCAUUCUCUUGAUAGUCCUUUUUUUUUUUUUUCUGGAGAUGGGGUCGCACUCUGUCGCCCAUGCUGGAGUACAGUGGUGUGAUCACAGCUCACGUUAGCCUCAACCUCUCAGGCUCAAGUGAUCCUCCUGCCUCAGCCUCCCAAGUAGCUGGGACUACAGGCAUGCACCACCAUGCCUGGCUAAUUUUUGUAUUUUUUGUACAGAUGGUGUUUCACCAUGUUACCCUGGCUUGUCUCGAAUUCCUGGGCUCAAGUGAUCCUCACGCCUCAGCCUCCCAAAGUGUUAGUGAGAGGUGACAGCGUGCUGGCAGUCCUCACAGCCCUCGCUCACUCUCGGCGCCUCCUCUGCCUGGGCUCCCACUUUGGCAGCACUUGAGGAGCCCUUCAGCCCACGGCUGCACUGUGGGAGCCCCUUUCUGGGCUGGCCAAGACCGUGCGCCCGCACUCCUCAGCCCUUGGGUGGUCGAUGGAACUGGGCACCAUGGAACAGGGGGUGGCACUCAUCAGGGAGGCUCGGGCCACACAGGAGCCCACAGAGGGGGUGGGAGGCUCAGGCAUGGUGUGGGACUGGCAGGCAGCUCCACCUGCAGCCCUGGCGCGGGAUUCCUGGGUGAAGCCAGCUGGGCUCCUGAGCCUGGUGGGGACGUGGAGAACCUUUAUGUCUAGCUCAGGGAUUGUAAAUACACCAAUCAGCACCCUGUGUCUAGCUCAGGGUUUGUGAAUGCACCAAUCGACACUCUGUAUAUAGCUAAUCUGGUGGGGCCUUAGAGAACCUUUGUGUGGACACUCUGUAUAUAGCUAAUCUGGUGGGGACUUGGAGAACCUUUGUGUCUAGCUCAGGGAUUGUAAACGCACCAAUCAGCGCCCUGUCAAAACAGACCACUCAGCUCUACCAAUCAGCAGGAUGUGGGUGGGGGCCAGAUAAGACAAUAACAGCAGGCUGCCCCAGCCAUCAGUGGCAACCCGCUGGGGUCCCCUUCCACACUGUGGAAGCUCUGUUCCUUCGGUCUUUGCAAUAAAUCCUGCUACUGCUCACUCUUUGGGUCCACACUGCCUUUAUGAGCUGUAACACUCACCGGGAAGGUCUGCAGCUUCACUCCUGAAGCCAGCGAGACCACGAGCCCACCGGCAGGAACGAACAACUCCAGACGCGCAGCCUUAAGAGCUGUAACACUCACCGCCAAGGUCUGCAGCUUCACUCCUGAGCCAGCGAGACCACGAACCCACCAGAAGGAAGAAACUCCGAACACAUCUGAACAUCAGAAGGAACAAACUCCAGACACGCCACCUUUAAGAACUGUAACACUCACCGUGAGGGUCCACGGCUACAUUCUUGAAGUCAGUGAGACCAAGAACCCACCAAUUCCGGACACGUUAGAAUUACAGGCAUGAGUCACCAUGCCUGGCCUUCCCCUGUUUUCUUCUAAGAGUUUUAUUGUUUUAACUCUUAAGUUUAGGUCUUUGAUCAUUUUGGGUUCAUUUUUGUAUGGCAAUUAAUUUUUAAAAAUUCACUUCUGUGAAAACUUGUUCAAGAGCAGGAUUCAUCCUAGCACUUUGGGAGGCCAAGGCGGGCAGAUCACUUGAGGUCAGGAGUUCGAGACCAGCCUGGCCAACAUGGUGAGACCCAGUCACUACUAAAAAAUACAAAAAUUAGCCAGGCGUGGUGGCACAUACCUAUAAUCCCAGCUACUCUGGAGGCUGAGGCAGGAGAAUCACUUGAACCCCGGAGGCGGAGGUUGCAGUGAGCUGAGAUCACGCCACUGUGCUCCAGACUGCGUGACAGAGUGAGACUCCAUCUCAAAAAAAAGAGAGCAGAAUUCAACCCCUGAGCCACCUGUUUGCCACCUUGGCUUUAGAUGCUUUUUUUUUUUUUUUUUUUUUUGGUCUGAGAUGGAGUCUUGCUCUGUCCCCCAGGCUGGUGUGCAGUGGGGCAAUCUCGGCUCACUGCAGCCUCUGCCUCCUGGGUUCAAGCAAUUUUCCUGCCUCAGCCUCCCAAGUAGCUGGGAUUAUAGGUUCACACCACCAGUCCCGGCUAUUUUUUGUAUUUUUAGUAGAGACUGGGUUUCCACCAUGUUGGCCAGGCUGGUCACAGACUCUUGACCUCAAGUGAUCCACCUGCCUCGGCCACCCAAAGUGUUGGGAUUACAGGUGCGAGCCACCGCACACGGCUAGAUGCUGGUAUUCCUCAGGGUUGAUCAUUUUCUCUUCUUACUCACAGUUCUGAAAUUAAUCACAUCAAUUCUGAGGACUUAAAUUAUUGCCUUGGUGAGAGGCUGUAUGGUGUGGUUAAGAGCAUAGAUCCGGAGCUGGACUACUGGAGUUGGAACCUUAGCUCUGGCACUUAGUUACUGUGUAACUUUGAUUACUGUACACAACUGUUUUUUGGUCUUAUGUUGUCCAAGGCACUGCCUGGGAUUACAGGCAUUAGCCACUGCACCCGACCUGCACACAACCUUUUGUUCCCUCAUCUGUAAAAUGGCAAGAGUGAAGGCACAUACCUCAUAGGGUUGUUGUGAGGAAUCAAUAAGUAAAUGUACAUAAAGAUCCAACAGUAAGUUCUCAAUAAGUGGUAAAUAGCAUUCAUUGUCUUUUUUUUUUUUUUUUUGAGAUGGAGUUUCACUCUUCUUACCCAGGCUGGGGUGCAAUGGCAUGGUCUUGGCUCACUGCAACCUCCACCUCCAGGGUUCAAGCAAUUCUCCUGUCUCAGCCUGCCAGGUAGCUGGGAUUACAGGCAUGCGCCACCAUACCUGGCUAAUUUUUGUAUUUUUAGUAGAGACUGGGUUUCACCACGUUGGCCAGGCUGGUCUCGAACUCCUGACCCACCCGCCUCGGCCUCCCAAGGUGCUGAGAUUACAGGCAUGCGCCACCGCACCCAGCCUCAUUGUCAUCUUUAAGCUGAUGUCAUCUUAGGCUUUCAAGUAAGAAUCCAUCCAGUCCAGGCCAGGCACGGUGGCUCACGCCUAUAAUCCCAGCACUUUGGGAGACUGAGGUGGUGGGGCGGUGGGGGUGGAUCACCUGAGGCCAGGAGUUCGAGACCAGCCUGGCCCACAUGGUGAAAACCUGUCUCUACUAAAAAUACAAAAAAUUAGCCGGGUGUGAUGGCUCAUGCCUGUAAUCCCAGAUACUUCGGAGGCUGAAGCAGGAGAAUCCUUGAAUCCAGGAGGUAGAGGUUGCAGUGAGCCAAGAUCACGCCAUUGCACUCCAUCCUGGGCGACAAGAGCGAAAUUCUGUCUCAAAAAAAAAGAAUCUCUCAGGUCCAGACUUCUUUCCUGAGGUUGACAGCACAUCAACUGGAUGUCUUGCUAGUGUCACCACUCAACAAGUCCAAAACUGACAUCUCUGACAUAUCUGUGACUCCGUCCCCAGUGCCCUCACCCUAACCCAGGCUGCUAUCAUUUCUGCCAUCCUGAAAAGAGAAACAAGGUCUUCAAUCUAGUCUCCGUACAGUAGCCACAAGCCUGUUCAGGACACUCCCCUGCCUAAAUUCCUCCCGGGGCCUUCUCAUUGCUCUUAGAAUAAAAGGCACAUUCUGUCUGGCGGCUUCCUGGGGGCUUCCUCACCCUGUCGCUCUCUUCCUCUCUUCUCUGUAUUCCCACCCUCCUGGACUUGCCUCCUCACCUCCUCUCCGAGCCUCAGGGCCGUUGCACAAGCUGUUCCUUCUGCCUGGAACGCUCUCUCCUGCUGUCCCACUUUAGUUGGCUGAUGACUGUUCAAAUCUUAAAUAUCAUGUUUUCCAGGAGACCUUCUUAAACCCCAGUGUUCUUUACCUACCCUAGCACAACAAACACCUCAUUGUAACUGUUUAUCUAUUAAAUGCGCCUCUGCCAAAAUAUGAGUCAGAAGAACAGGAACAUUUGUUGUGUUCUCCACUGUGUCCUUCCCUAGCCCAGUGCCUGGCAUGCAGUAGGUGCUGUCUGUGUAUAAUACAUAGCUGAUGGAGAG